UUAAGCGACUAAGCGUACACGGUGGAUGCCCUGGCAGUCAGAGGCGAUGAAGGACGUGCUAAUCUGCGAUAAGCGUCGGUGAGGUGAUAUGAACCGUUAUAACCGGCGAUUUCCGAAUGGGGAAACCCAGUGUGUUUCGACACACUAUCAUUAACUGAAUCCAUAGGUUAAUGAGGCGAACCGGGGGAACUGAAACAUCUAAGUACCCCGAGGAAAAGAAAUCAACCGAGAUUCCCCCAGUAGCGGCGAGCGAACGGGGAGGAGCCCAGAGCCUGAAUCAGUGUGUGUGUUAGUGGAAGCGUCUGGAAAGGCGUGCGAUACAGGGUGACAGCCCCGUACACAAAAAUGCACAUAUUGUGAGCUCGAUGAGUAGGGCGGGACACGUGGUAUCCUGUCUGAAUAUGGGGGGACCAUCCUCCAAGGCUAAAUACUCCUGACUGACCGAUAGUGAACCAGUACCGUGAGGGAAAGGCGAAAAGAACCCCGGCGAGGGGAGUGAAAAAGAACCUGAAACCGUGUACGUACAAGCAGUGGGAGCCUCUUAAUGGGGUGACUGCGUACCUUUUGUAUAAUGGGUCAGCGACUUAUAUUCUGUAGCAAGGUUAACCGAAUAGGGGAGCCGAAGGGAAACCGAGUCUUAACUGGGCGUUAAGUUGCAGGGUAUAGACCCGAAACCCGGUGAUCUAGCCAUGGGCAGGUUGAAGGUUGGGUAACACUAACUGGAGGACCGAACCGACUAAUGUUGAAAAAUUAGCGGAUGACUUGUGGCUGGGGGUGAAAGGCCAAUCAAACCGGGAGAUAGCUGGUUCUCCCCGAAAGCUAUUUAGGUAGCGCCUCGUGAAUUCAUCUCCGGGGGUAGAGCACUGUUUCGGCAAGGGGGUCAUCCCGACUUACCAACCCGAUGCAAACUGCGAAUACCGGAGAAUGUUAUCACGGGAGACACACGGCGGGUGCUAACGUCCGUCGUGAAGAGGGAAACAACCCAGACCGCCAGCUAAGGUCCCAAAGUCAUGGUUAAGUGGGAAACGAUGUGGGAAGGCCCAGACAGCCAGGAUGUUGGCUUAGAAGCAGCCAUCAUUUAAAGAAAGCGUAAUAGCUCACUGGUCGAGUCGGCCUGCGCGGAAGAUGUAACGGGGCUAAACCAUGCACCGAAGCUGCGGCAGCGACACUAUGUGUUGUUGGGUAGGGGAGCGUUCUGUAAGCCUGUGAAGGUGGCCUGUGAGGGUUGCUGGAGGUAUCAGAAGUGCGAAUGCUGACAUAAGUAACGAUAAAGCGGGUGAAAAGCCCGCUCGCCGGAAGACCAAGGGUUCCUGUCCAACGUUAAUCGGGGCAGGGUGAGUCGACCCCUAAGGCGAGGCCGAAAGGCGUAGUCGAUGGGAAACAGGUUAAUAUUCCUGUACUUGGUGUUACUGCGAAGGGGGGACGGAGAAGGCUAUGUUGGCCGGGCGACGGUUGUCCCGGUUUAAGCGUGUAGGCUGGUUUUCCAGGCAAAUCCGGAAAACCAAGGCUGAGGCGUGAUGACGAGGCACUACGGUGCUGAAGUGACAAAUGCCCUGCUUCCAGGAAAAGCCUCUAAGCAUCAGGUAACAUCAAAUCGUACCCCAAACCGACACAGGUGGUCAGGUAGAGAAUACCAAGGCGCUUGAGAGAACUCGGGUGAAGGAACUAGGCAAAAUGGUGCCGUAACUUCGGGAGAAGGCACGCUGAUAUGUAGGUGAAGCGACUUGCUCGUGGAGCUGAAAUCAGUCGAAGAUACCAGCUGGCUGCAACUGUUUAUUAAAAACACAGCACUGUGCAAACACGAAAGUGGACGUAUACGGUGUGACGCCUGCCCGGUGCCGGAAGGUUAAUUGAUGGGGUUAGCGGUAACGCGAAGCUCUUGAUCGAAGCCCCGGUAAACGGCGGCCGUAACUAUAACGGUCCUAAGGUAGCGAAAUUCCUUGUCGGGUAAGUUCCGACCUGCACGAAUGGCGUAAUGAUGGCCAGGCUGUCUCCACCCGAGACUCAGUGAAAUUGAACUCGCUGUGAAGAUGCAGUGUACCCGCGGCAAGACGGAAAGACCCCGUGAACCUUUACUAUAGCUUGACACUGAACAUUGAGCCUUGAUGUGUAGGAUAGGUGGGAGGCUUUGAAGUGUGGACGCCAGUCUGCAUGGAGCCGACCUUGAAAUACCACCCUUUAAUGUUUGAUGUUCUAACGUUGGCCCGUAAUCCGGGUUGCGGACAGUGUCUGGUGGGUAGUUUGACUGGGGCGGUCUCCUCCUAAAGAGUAACGGAGGAGCACGAAGGUUGGCUAAUCCUGGUCGGACAUCAGGAGGUUAGUGCAAUGGCAUAAGCCAGCUUGACUGCGAGCGUGACGGCGCGAGCAGGUGCGAAAGCAGGUCAUAGUGAUCCGGUGGUUCUGAA
rnacentral:rRNA from 1 species